CCCUUAGAUGCUCUGGGCCACACGCGCGCUACACUGGUCGAUGCAACGAGUUUCUUUCCUUGGCCGACAGGCCUGGGCAAUCUUUGAACAUCGAUCGUGAUCGGGAUAGAUUCUUGUAAUUUUUGAUCUUAAACGAGGAAUUCCUAGUAAACGCAAGUCAUCAGCUUGCAUUGAUUACGUCCCUGCCCUUUGUACACACCGCCCGUCGCACCUACCGAUUGAAUGGUCCGGUGAAAUCUCCGGACUGGCGUGAGUCGGAGCAAUCUGACAAACACCGGAAAGUUGAUUAAACCUUACCAUUUAGAGGAAGGUGAANUCGUAACA
rnacentral:rRNA from 1 species